rnacentral:rRNA from 1 species
UAGCUAGUUGGUGAGGUAACGGCUUACCAAGGCGACGAUCUGUAGCGGGUCUGAGAGGAUGAUCCGCCACACUGGAACUGAGACACGGUCCAGACUCCUACGGGAGGCAGCAGUGGGGAAUUUUGGACAAUGGGGGCAACCCUGAUCCAGCCAUGCCGCGUGAGUGAAGAAGGCCUUCGGGUUGUAAAGCUCUUUCGGCCGGGAAGAAAUCGCAUGGGCCAAUACCCUGUGUGGAUGACGGUACCGGAAUAAGAAGCACCGGCUAACUACGUGCCAGCAGCCGCGGUAAUACGUAGGGUGCGAGCGUUAAUCGGAAUUACUGGGCGUAAAGCGUGCGCAGGCGGUUUUGUAAGACAGGCGUGAAAUCCCCGGGCUCAGCCUGGGAACUGCGUUUGUGACUGCAAGGCUAGAGUACGGCAGAGGGGGGUGGAAUUCCACGUGUAGCAGUGAAAUGCGUAGAGAUGUGGAGGAACACCAAUGGCGAAGGCAGCCCCCUGGGUCGAUACUGACGCUCAUGCACGAAAGCGUGGGUAGCAAACAGGAUUAGAUACCCUGGUAGUCCACGCCCUAAACUAUGUCAACUAGGUGUUGGGUGGGUAAAACCAUUUAGUACCGUAGCUAACGCGUGAAGUUGACCGCCUGGGGAGUACGGCCGCAAGGUUAAAACUCAAAGGAAUUGACGGGGACCCGCACAAGCGGUGGAUGAUGUGGAUUAAUUCGAUGCAACGCGAAAAACCUUACCUACCCUUGACAUGCCAGGAACUUGCCAGAGAUGGCUUGGUGCCCGAAAGGGAGCCUGGACACAGGUGCUGCAUGGCUGUCGUCAGCUCGUGUCGUGAGAUGUUGGGUUAAGUCCCGCAACGAGCGCAACCCUUGUCGUUAAUUGCCAUCAUUUAGUUGGGCACUUUAGCGAGACUGCCGGUGACAAACCGGAGGAAGGUGGGGAUGACGUCAAGUCCUCAUGGCCCUUAUGGGUAGGGCUUCACACGUCAUACAAUGGUCGGUACAAAGGGUCGCCAAGCCGCGAGGUGGAGCCAAUCCCAGAAAGCCGAUCGUAGUCCGGAUUGCAGGCUGCAACUCGCCUGCAUGAAGUCGGAAUCGCUAGUAAUCGUGGAUCAGCAUGUCACGGUGAAUACGUUCCCGGGUCUUGUACACACCGCCCGUCACACCAUGGGAGCGGGUUCCGCCAGAAGUAGGCAGCCUAACCGCAAGGAGGGCGCUUACCACGGCGGGGUUCGUGACUGGGGUGAAGUUGUAACAAGGUAGCCAUAGGGGAACCUGCGGCUG